rnacentral:rRNA from 1 species
GACGAACGCUGGCGGCGUGCUUAAUACAUGCAAGUCGAACGGAAAGGCCCUGCUUUUGCGGGGUGCUCGAGUGGCGAACGGGUGAGUAACACGUGAGUAACCUGCCCUUGACUUUGGGAUAACUUCAGGAAACUGGGGCUAAUACCGGAUAGGAGCUCCUGCUGCAUGGUGGGGGUUGGAAAGUUUCGGCGGUUGGGGAUGGACUCGCGGCUUAUCAGCUUGUUGGUGGGGUAGUGGCUUACCAAGGCUUUGACGGGUAGCCGGCCUGAGAGGGUGACCGGCCACAUUGGGACUGAGAGACGGCCCAGACUCCUACGGGAGGCAGCAGUGGGAAGUAUUGCACAAUAAGCGGAAGCCUGAUGCAGCAACGCCGCGUGCGGGAUGACGGCCUUCGGGUUAUAAACCGCUUUCGCCUGUAACGAAGCGUGAGUGACGGUAAUGGAUAAAGAAGCACCGGCUAACUACGUG